rnacentral:rRNA from 1 species
UCUUACGGUACCGUCAGCCCCCAACACGUUGGAGGAGUUCUUCCCGUAUAAAAGUAGUUUACAACCCAUAGGGCAGUCAUCCUACACGCGGCAUGGCUGGGUCAGACUUGCGUCCAUUGCCCAAUAUUCCUCA